rnacentral:lncRNA from 1 species
UGUGGGGGUAGACUUGUCCAUAAAGAAAAAAAUAUGUGAAAGCCGUGAAAAAGAAAUGAAAAGAAAAAAAAAAUGUGUACGGCUAGAAAAUUAAAAGAAAGAAAAGAAAAAAUGUAUAUGGAUUUUAGUCCUCCAUACUUGGUGAGUUUGGAGUUUGUUUUGAAUUGAAGACCCACUAUUGGAAAAUUUCGUCUUUGUCCAAUUCACUAGUUCGAGGGAAGUUUAGAGUGAAGAUUGGGCCUAACAUGAAGACAUUUGGCCCUUUCAUAAAACCUCUAUGGGAUGUGACGUUUUGAUAUAUCUUGGUGGAUUUCUAGAAGUCUCUACAUCUACAUGAGCUCUGCUAGGUUUUUAGGACACUUUGUGAAAUUCCUUACCUUUCGUUUCUUAAAACCUUGAGCCUUGGCCCCAUUACAACCUAAAUAAGACCUUCUUGAUCCUUAAGAUGGGACAGCCUUUGAUUUGUGGAGAUGAGUUACAAGAGUUGAACCUAUGGCUUGGGUCCAUCCGUGCAAGUAAUUGAUAUCCUUCAUGAGAUCUUUUCAAAAAAAAUUAUAUUCACAAAGUGCUUUUCGUUUCUUAUAUAUGUGAGCUAUUUGAUUGCCUCAAAAUAUUUUCUCUCACAUAUAAUUGAGUGAUUAUAAGCUUUUAAGCAUUGUCUUGAAUUCUGAGAGAAGAAAGAGUGGAUAUACCUUGUGAGGAUAUGAAUCAUACUUGUUCGAAGCAUGCUUAACAGAAACCAUCACCAUUGUCACAACCAAGUCCUACUUGUGUAUGUGUGGAUUAUAUGUUUUAAUUAACUCUUGAAUAUCUACAUAUUGAUUCUUGGUUGAGUGCUAAUCUUGAUGUUGUGAAAGUAGGAGAUUUCUGAGACAAAAAGUUGAAGGGCAAUAGAGUCAUUGUUUUUGUAGAGUCUUUAAUUUUUGUUGAGUGUUAGUGUGUGUCUUAGUGUGAUUUUGCUAAGGGACUAGCAAAAGCUAAGUGUGGGGGAAUUUGAUAGGAGCAUUUUAAUGCGACGUUUUAACUGCAUUUCCCUACAUUUCUUACGUUAUUUCCUUAUUAAAAUCCUGUUUAGGAAAGUUUCCAUUCUUUGAUUGGGAAAGUUCCUAUUUGUAGAAAGUUUAUAUUUUUGUAGUUUCUAUUUAUCAUUUUUAUUGCUUAUGUUAAGUUUCCAUUUUCAGUUUAGAAAAGUUGCCAUUUUUCAUUUUAGGAAAGUUUCUAUUUUUCUUAUUAGUUUCUAUUUUUAG